rnacentral:lncRNA from 1 species
CUCCCAAAGCAUCUUUUUCAUUUUCCUUUCCUGCAUUUUUCAUUGUUUCUUCACAGGUCGGGAGAUUGGUGCUCCUUGAGGUAUGCUCCGGAGGUGGCUGAUACAAAAAGGUAGAUCUUGUAUUAUCUUUUUGAAAAGGAUUUCCUUUCCUUUAUUCAAUUUAACUGUAGAUGAAAGCCACAGGUUCGUAUGUUUCUUUGCACUCAUUUACCUUCUCCGCGUUAAACCUCCCUACUUUGGAUUUCGCAGAACGAGUAUAUACUUUUGUUUUGCUAUUAAGUUUCCAGAAAAAUAUAUGUUAAGUUUCCAGGAAAAAGAAACGGGUGAGUUCUGAACUGACUGAAAAAAGUAAAAAAAAAAUGAUAUGCAUAGUAUGAAUGAGUUGAAAUUAUAAUGUCAUAACAAGGAACCAAUCUCAGCGAGUUGACAAUUUACUGCUAUAGAAUUAAACAAUCAGAAAAACCUGUAUACAUUGUUUCUAGUUGUUGUUCUUAAUCUUUCCAUCUGUAGUUUCUGUCUAGACUUGAAUAUAAUCAGACAACUUCAAUUUUAAAAAAUUCAAAGAUCACUGUUACUAGCUAGUUUGUCAUGUGCCUCUUAUAACACAUUCAUCUACUUGAAUCAAAAAGCCGGUAACCGAAAAGCAACUUCAACAGCUAUGGAUCGUAAAUCAGGACUCUCCACACUAUCGCCUGCCAUCUUCUUGAACAAGACCCAAGCUUCUGUCUUCUCUUAAAAUGCCAACUCCAAAAUCUUUUUUUUGACUGUCCAUUGCAAUUGACAGAACAUUUUGGUCUCUAGAAGUCAAUAGAAUCUUGCAUCCCUGGUGAGUCUCUCCGAAAGGAAAUUCCCACGUCCUCCAGAUCAAGUUUUUCCCCAUAUGUUCUCUAAAAUUAUGAGAAUCUUCUUCACUUUCUUUAAUCUCUCACAAAGUCUAUCUGCCUUUUCUGAUACAGUCUCUUCCCUCGAUCCAAGUAGAUGAAAAGCAAAAAACUGAAAAAAAAAGAGCAGAAAUGAACCGAAAAGAAUGUGUUAUAAGAGGCACAUGACAAACUAGCUAGUAAAAAUGAUCUUUGAAUAUUUUAGAAUCGAAGUUGGUGAUUAAAUUCAGGUCUAGACAGAAGAUACAGACGGAAAGAUUAAGAACAACAACUAGAAACAAAGUGUACAAGAAAACAUGUCUCUAAAGGCUUAAGAUCAAUUGAGGAAAAAAAAGAAGAAAAAUCUGUAUAAAGUAAACACGUACAAAAUAUUUGCAUCUCGGUUAGAACAUUAACGACCUUCUCAAAAUCAUCUCAUCCAUACAUGUCAUGCCCCCAAAACUAGAUACUCAAAAAUAUGUAUCCACCUAUCUCUGAUCUGAUGAUACCCCCCCUCUCCACAUUCCAUUCAAAUGUUUAUUUUGUUUAUUUCCACACCACUCAAAAAAUAGUUAAAAGAAUAAGUAUUACAAUUUUCUUCUUUAUACAAAUCUCACACCAAAUCCAAAAUUCAUCCCUAACCGUACCUGCAGUAACUCAAUUGAUAUCCAACAAUCCGUAAACUAUAGUCCAAAUAUUAUACACCACCGGAGACCGGAGAAGGAUAUGUGUAGCACCCGGAAAGAAGGAGGGGAAGAAAAAAAAAAAAAAAAAAAAAAAAAAAAAAAAAAAAAAAAAAAAAAAAAAAAAAAUAAAAAAGGAGGGGGGGCCACGUCAGCAGCUGCGUCAGCAGCCACGUCAGCAGUCCCGGCCAACCAGUGCCUGCCACGUGGCAAGAUCGCGUCACUCCGAAAGGAGCCACGUUGGCGAUCCGCGUGGGUGCGAUCCGACGGCCCAGAUCAAUCACGCGAUCGGACGGCCCAGAUUCAAUCGCACGGACGGC